rnacentral:rRNA from 1 species
GAGUUUGAUCGUGGCUCAGAGUGAACGCUGGCGGUAGGCCUAACACAUGCAAGUCGAACGGCAGCACAGUAAGAGCUUGCUCUUAUGGGUGGCGAGUGGCGGACGGGUGAGGAAUACAUCGGAAUCUACAUUUUCGUGGGGGAUAACGUAGGGAAACUUACGCUAAUACCGCAUACGACCUACGGGUGAAAGCAGGGGAUCUUCGGACCUUGCGCGAUUGAAUGAGCCGAUGUCGGAUUAGCUAGUUGGCGGGUAAAGGCCCACCAAGGCGACGAUCCGUAGCUGGUCUGAGAGGAUGAUCAGCCACACUGGAACUGAGACACGGUCCAGACUCCUACGGGAGGCAGCAGUGGGGAAUAUUGGACAAUGGGCGCAAGCCUGAUCCAGCCAUACCGCGUGGGUGAAGAAGGCCUCGGUUGUAAGACCUUUGUUGGUAAGAAGUACAG